rnacentral:lncRNA from 1 species
AUACGGACCGGAUUGUUUUCGCUGGCCCAGUGUCCCCGGAGCUUGUGUGCGAUACAGAGAGCACCUCGGAAGCUGAGGCAGCUGGUACUUGACAGAGAGGAUGGCGCUGUCGACCAUAGUCUCCCAGAGGAAGCAGAUAAAGCGGAAGGCUCCCCGUGGCUUUCUAAAGCGAGUCUUCAAGCGAAAGAAGCCUCAACUUCGUCUGGAGAAAAGUGGUGACUUAUUGAAGAGUCCAGGACAAACGCUUGUGCGAGUAAAUGUAGAGUCAUUAACAAGGAGCAUGUACUGGCCGCAGCAAAGGUAAUUCUAAAGAAGAGCAGAGGUUAGAAGUCAAAGAACAUAUUCUUGAAAGUUAUGAUGCAUUCUUUUGGGUGGUAACAGAUCAUAAAGACAUUUUUUACACAUCAGUUAAUAUGGGAUUAUUAAAUAUUGGCUAUAAGUGA